GAUAAAGAACGUAGCGAAAUGCGAUACGUAAUGUGAAUUGCAGAAUUCAGUGAAUCAUCGAGUCUUUGAACGCACAUUGCGCCCUUUGGUAUUCCGAAGGGCAUGCCUGUUCGAGCGUCAUUAUCACCCCUCAAGCCCCCGGCUUGGUGUUGGACGGCUUGGUGGAGCCCCUUUUGUGGCCCACCCCUCCCAAAGACAAUGACGGCGGCCUCGUUGGACCCCCGGUACACUGAGUUCUUCACGGGACACGUAUCGGACACACGGGUUUACGGGUCACGGUCUGCCUCCCCUCAGGGAGAACUUUUCUAAGGUUGACCUCGGAUCAGGUAGGGAUACCCGCUGAACUUAAGCAUAUCAAUAAGCGGAGA
rnacentral:misc_RNA from 1 species